CUGAAUCUGAAUGGGCAACAGGCAGCAAGAAAUGGAAAGAAGUAGGAUGAGGCAAGGAGGGCAGGAGUAUGUUUGAGGUGUUGCUCUCAGAUUUCUUCGUCUUCCACAUCAGCUGUUCCUAGAGCUUUUCAGCCAACUUCUACAGAAGCAGCAAGGCUAUGGAAGAUCAGGAUUGAGGUGCCCUGAUACUGCUGGAGAAGGAAACAAACAAGGCCUGUGUGAA